AUCACAGAGAAGGAGAUGGAAGAGAGGAGGGGGGCAGAGGAGAAAGCAGCCCAGGAGAUUAUACGACUCACACAGUAGGUGAAGGCCCUGCAGGAGAGAGGGACUCUUUGGGGAAAGAGAAGGAGGAUCUGAGCACUCGCUUACUGAAGCAGGGGAAGGCUCAGGAGGAGUGUGUAGUCCAGGCGGUGGCCCAGGCAGGUAAAGCUCUGACAGCUGAGCUGGAUGAAGAGGAAGUACCAGGGCCUGCUCAGAGAGUUCACCAGGCUGGAGCAGAGAUACGACAACUUCCGAGAGAUGAGCAUGUUC